ACUUGGGGUUGAUUGUUAGCCUGAAAAAAUAAUUAUUAUAUAAUUAUAGUUGGUGAGCCAAGGUUAAAAUCAACUAGGUUGAUAAUGAGUCUGGAAAACUAUCGAUGUUGGAUUGAUAGUGACCUCGAAAAAACUAUCAAUGUAGGAUUGUGGUUGGUAAGCCUGAAAAAAUUCAACUUGAUUUAUUUAUAAGCUUGAAAACAUAAAUACACUAUAAUCAAAAAAUUAUAAUCAAAUUUUUAAGGAG
rnacentral:lncRNA from 1 species